AUAUAUACCUGGCAGGGGAGAUAACAUGAUCAACCAGACCUACCAUCUUCUUGGCCUUGAAUCGACACAAGUGUAGUUAGAGGGUGAAGGCCUGUUUCUUGCAUUGUGGGCAGGCUGACUCCUGUGAAAGUCUACAAUACUUCCAAAUUUAAGGAUCUCAGGUACACAAUUUAUGGUGAUGGGGGACUGCUUUUGGGCUUUCCCCCU
rnacentral:snRNA from 14 species